GACGAACGCUGGCGGCGUGCUUAACACAUGCAAGUCGAACGGAAAGGCCCUGCUUUUGUGGGGUGCUCGAGUGGCGAACGGGUGAGUAACACGUGAGUAACCUGCCCUUGACUUUGGGAUAACUUCAGGAAACUGGGGCUAAUACCGGAUAGGAGCUCCUGCUGCAUGGUGGGGGUUGGAAAGUUUCGGCGGUUGGGGAUGGACUCGCGGCUUAUCAGCUUGUUGGUGGGGUAGUGGCUUACCAAGGCUUUGACGGGUAGCCGGCCUGAGAGGGUGACCGGCCACAUUGGGACUGAGAUACGGCCCAGACUCCUACGGGAGGCAGCAGUGGGGAAUAUUGCACAAUGGGCGGAAGCCUGAUGCAGCAACGCCGCGGGCGGGAUGACGGCCUUCGGGUUGUAAACCGCUUUCGCCUGUGACGAAGCGGGAGUGACGGUAAUGGGUAAAGAAGCACCGGCUAACUACGUG
rnacentral:rRNA from 1 species